rnacentral:rRNA from 1 species
CACAAGCGGUGGAGUAUGUGGUUAAUUCGACGCAACGCGAAGAACCUUACCAAGGCUUAAACUGCAGGGUAAACCCUCCGAAAGGAGGGCUGCUUCGGCGAUCCUGUAGAGGUGCUGCAUGGCUGUCGUCAGCUCGUGUCGUGAGAUGUUGGGUUAAGUCCCGCAACGAGCGCAACCCUUGUCCUUAGUUACCAGCGCGUCAUGGCGGGGACUCUAAGGAGACUGCCGUCGUAGGACGGAGGAAGGUGGGAUGACGUCAAGUCCUCAUGGCCCUUAUGUCUUGGGCUACACACGUACUACAAUGGCCGGUACAACGAGUCGCAAGGCCGCGAGGUCAAGCUAAUCUCUUAAAGCCGGUCCCAGUUCAGAUUGCAGUCUGCAACUCGACUGCAUGAAGGUGGAAUCGCUAGUAAUCGCAGAUCAGCACGCUGCGGUGAAUACGUUCCCGGGCCUU